GUCCUAUCAUGUAAGGCCAUAGUUUCUGGACACAAAUUCUACUCUGAGUUUAUCAAGGACUUACAAUUAUAACUCAGCAGCAAAUCCUAAAGGUUACUCUCCAUCUUUUAUGAGCUCAGACAAAUGUUCUAUCAUUUUUAAAUACAAUUGAAUCUAUUAGGAAAUGAAGUUCACUAGCCAUGUAUCAGAUGUAACAAUUUCAACAAAAAACAAAAACGGGAAAACGUGGUUCACCAAAGAUAGUUAUUUUUUAUUUAUUUAUUACUUAUUUCUUAAUUAAUAAUGGUGUAGGAGUGUUCUGCUCCUGGAUGCAAGCAGGGCUAUGAUGGCAUAACUAAGGAUCCGGAUGUGAGCUUUCACAAAUUCCCCAUGAAGGACUCCAAAAUUAUAACUAAAUGGCUUAGGGCCAUCCCAAGAUAUUAUUUACCAGACACCAACAGCAAAUUCAAGACCAUGCAGUCGGCAUGUUAAAGUGAUGGAUUUUAUUCCUGAAUCUUUAGAUCAAUCCCGUGAUAAAGGAAAAUCACUCAAACGAAGGCAGUUGAAAGAGGAAGCAAGCAAGCCAUCCCAUCAAAGUAGCCGAAUCUGGCAAGUUACCUCUCAUGCCCACCUCAAAGACCAACACGGGCAUCAACUAGCACCAAUAGAGUAGUGCAUUUGGAGAAUGAAAGACAAGAAGCUCUGGGGUGUGCAAUGUUUAUGGAAGAGAAUGCUCUUUCGGCAAAAGAUCUCUAACACAAACUCUCUUUGGAAUCAUUGUCCUCGGGGUUCUUGUUGCUUAAAACUCCAAAAGUUGCACUUGUUAAAAUAAUACAUUAAGAUAUGAAGGGUCUGUCACUGAAGCCCUCAACAUUU
rnacentral:lncRNA from 1 species